rnacentral:lncRNA from 1 species
UUUGACGUCAUGACCAAACAGCUAAUCCGGUUUGGUCAUUGAUGAAUAAGAUGACGAAAGGAAGGCUGUCAAAGAAGAUGCUUGAUUCGGUUCCUCCAUCGGAAACGAAGGAUACAGUUCAAUAUGGACCAAGAGACAGAAUUCGUGAAUGUUACAAGAGAGAACAUUUUUCGUACACCUGAUUGGCACAAACAACGCGUAAUAAUGCGGUGAGAUAAAACAGUUCCAGGGGAAUCCCGUGCGGCGCUGUUGGGCGCUACACCUCAGAGCCGCUAUAAACAGCCCAUUUGUGCCACGGAAGAGAACAGUAACUCCAUCAGGACGUGAGCCGCGAUUAUCGCGCGCUCUCAUGCACUUCCAGGCUCACUUCAGAAUAAACGUUACUUUUAUUUUUCGUAGCGUGUAAUCUAGCGCCACGCUCAGCGGAGACUCGGUUUUCCUCAGUCUGAGAUCGUGCAGGCGCGGCGUUUAAAAAACCCAACAUUGGUAAAACCCGGCAGAACUUGAUGCUGAAAAAUGUUAUACUUCCCCCUUCCCGUCGGAAAUCACGCUGAAAAGUCCGAUGUUUCGCUUAUGCCAAGACUCAAUCAGUAUAUCUGCUGUCAAAGGUGCUGGUUAUUUCUUUAAAACGGUGCUCUUGUCAACGCGGUAAAAGGUCAGUAUAAAGCAUUCAGUUUCUGCACUAAGCAUAAGUGACUAGCAAUGGAGAAAAGGGCCGUAGGGUUUAACUGGGGUUUUUCUAUUCAUGAAAUGAAAUACGUUGAAAAUUGAAAUUCUUGAUGUCAAACCCCCCUCCCCCACGAUACGAUUUGUAAAGCACAUAACUGCUGAGAGCUGCCGAAAAUGAUACUUCAUUUUCAAUUGAAUCGGUGAGUUCGGAAACACACCAACUCGGAAAAAAAAUGUUCAGGAAACACCUAAAACUGCGCAGCGGGCGAAGAAGUUAGUUUAAGAAAAACCUUUUUGGUGCCAAAGGACAAGUACUUGGAGACUUUGUAAAGCACCAAGUUGAAAUCGAUACACCAUGUUUGAUGACAGAGAAAUAAGCGUUUACAAAUUUCCGAGUUGGUGUGUUUUCGUUCUCACCGAAUUUCAGAUACUGAUUUAUCAUAGUCUGCCCUGAAACAUUUAUAUUUUUCGACCUGAAUAACGCUUGAAUAUUUAUAUAACUAGUUGGUACAAGGUAUACUAAACCGAAAAAAAAACCGCAAAAUCGGAU